rnacentral:rRNA from 1 species
GGGCAUGGGGGUGCUAUACAUGCAGUCGUACGCUUCUUUUUCCACCGGAGCUUGCUCCACCGGAAAAAGAAGAGUGGCGAACGGGUGAGUAACACGUGGGUAACCUGCCCAUCAGAAGGGGAUAACACUUGGAAACAGGUGCUAAUACCGUAUAACAAUCGAAACCGCAUGGUUUUGAUUUGAAAGGCGCUUUCGGGUGUCGCUGAUGGAUGGACCCGCGGUGCAUUAGCUAGUUGGUGAGGUAACGGCUCACCAAGGCCACGAUGCAUAGCCGACCUGAGAGGGUGAUCGGCCACAUUGGGACUGAGACACGGCCCAAACUCCUACGGGAGGCAGCAGUAGGGAAUCUUCGGCAAUGGACGAAAGUCUGACCGAGCAACGCCGCGUGAGUGAAGAAGGUUUUCGGAUCGUAAAACUCUGUUGUUAGAGAAGAACAAGGAUGAGAGUAACUGUUCAUCCCUUGACGGUAUCUAACCAGAAAGCCACGGCUAACUACGUGCCAGCAGCCGCGGUAAUACGUAGGUGGCAAGCGUUGUCCGGAUUUAUUGGGCGUAAAGCGAGCGCAGGCGGUUUCUUAAGUCUGAUGUGAAAGCCCCCGGCUCAACCGGGGAGGGUCAUUGGAAACUGGGAGACUUGAGUGCAGAAGAGGAGAGUGGAAUUCCAUGUGUAGCGGUGAAAUGCGUAGAUAUAUGGAGGAACACCAGUGGCGAAGGCGGCUCUCUGGUCUGUAACUGACGCUGAGGCUCGAAAGCGUGGGGAGCAAACAGGAUUAGAUACGGGGGGGGUCCACAAAAAAAAGGGCCCCGAACCAUAGCUAUAUG